ensembl:ncRNA F35B12.12 ncRNA
GUCAGUGGCUGGUCGACUGAGAAUGGGAAAAUUAAUAUCGAAGCGAAUGGAAUGCAUCAACAUAUUCGGAGGAGCAAAAUCUAAACUCGUGUGUUUCUCGUUUUCUCUUGCACAGUGAUUCGACCGGUGGCGUCUACGAGACGGGGC